CUCCCGGGAAGUCCUCGU
rnacentral:snRNA from 1 species